CCUACGGGGGGCUGCAGUGGGGAAUAUUGGACAAUGGGCGAAAGCCUGAUCCAGCCAUGCCGCGUGUGUGAAGAAGGCCUUCGGGUUGUAAAGCACUUUCGGUGGGGAAGAAAGCCUUGGGGCUAAUACCCUCGAGGAAGGACAUCACCCACAGAAGAAGCACCGGCUAACUCCGUGCCAGCAGCCGCGGUAAUACGGAGGGUGCGAGCGUUAAUCGGAAUUACUGGGCGUAAAGCGCGCGUAGGCGGUCUGAUAAGCCGGUUGUGAAAGCCCCGGGCUCAACCUGGGAACGGCAUCCGGAACUGUCAGGCUAGAGUGCAGGAGAGGAAGGUAGAAUUCCCGGUGUAGCGGUGAAAUGCGUAGAGAUCGGGAGGAAUACCAGUGGCGAAGGCGGCCUUCUGGACUGACACUGACGCUGAGGUGCGAAAGCGUGGGUAGCAAACAGGAUUAGAUACCCUUGUAGUC
rnacentral:rRNA from 1 species